AUUCAUGUGGAGGAUGGAUUGGAUCCCUGCUUUCAGUCACUUUCUGAAGAGUCAAGCUUAACUCCACCUAUACUCAAAGCCCACAGGGGUACCAGAGCCACUUGAUGAAGCCAGGG